rnacentral:rRNA from 1 species
UACGUAGGGUGCGAGCGUUAAUCGGAAUUACUGGGCGUAAAGCGUGCGCAGGCGGUUCUCCAAGUCCGUUGUGAAAGCCCCGGGCUCAACCUGGGAAUGGCAGUGGAAACUAGGGGACUGGAAUCUGGCAGAGGGGGGUGGAAUGCCGCGUGUAGCAGUGAAAUGCGUAGAGAUGCGGCGGAACACCGAUGGCGAAGGCAGCCCCCUGGGCUGAGAUUGACGCUCAGGCACGAAAGCGUGGGGAGCAAACCGG